rnacentral:ncRNA from 1 species
CAAUUAUUUCCCUUGAACGAGGAAUUCCCAGUAAGCGCGAGUCAUUAGCUCGCGUUGAUUACGUCCCUGCCCUUUGUACACACCGCCCGUCGCUACUACCGAUUGAAUGGUUUAGUGAGGUCCUCCGAUUGGACCCGGUCCGGGCGGCGACGUCCGAGCCGGCGUCCGAGAAGACGAUCUAACUUGAUCAUUUAGAGGAAGUAAAAGUCGUAACAAGGUUUCCGUAGGUGAACCUGCGGAAGGAUCAUUA